rnacentral:rRNA from 1 species
AUACGUAGGGUGCAAGCGUUAUCCGGAAUCACUGGGCGUAAAGAGCUCGUAGGCGGCCUUGUAAGUCGAAUGUUAAAGACCCAGGCUCAACUUGGGGAAUGCGUUCGAUACUGCUUGGCUAGAGAGUGGGAGAGGAAAGUGGAAUUCCUGGUGUAGCGGUGAAAUGCAUAGAUAUCAGGAAGAACAUCAGUGGCGAAGGCGACUUUCUGGACCAUUUCUGACGCUGAGGAGCGAAAGCCAGGGGAGCGAACGGGAUUAGAAACCCGAGUAGUCC